CCUACGGGUUGCAGCAGUGGGGAAUAUUGCACAAUGGGCGCAAGCCUGAUGCAGCCACGCCGCGUGUAUGAAGAAGGCCCUAGGGUUGUAAAGUACUUUCAGCCGGGAGGAAGGCGUUGAUGCUAAUAUCAUCAACGAUUGACGUUACCGACGGAAGAAGCACCGGCUAACUCCGUGCCAGCAGCCGCGGUAACACGGAGGGUGCAAGCGUUAAUCGGAAUUACUGGGCGUAAAGCGCACGCAGGCGGUUGAUUAAGUUAGAUGUGAAAUCCCCGGGCUUAACCUGGGAAUGGCAUCUAAGACUGGUCAGCUAGAGUCUUGUAGAGGGGGGUAGAAUUCCACGUGUAGCGGUGAAACGCGUAGAGAUGUGGAGGAAUACCAGUGGCGAAGGCGGCCCCCUGGACAAAGACUGACGCUCAGGUGCGAAAGCGUGGGGAGCAAACAGGAUUAGAUACCCGGGUAGUC
rnacentral:rRNA from 1 species